rnacentral:rRNA from 1 species
CCUACGGGUGGCAGCAGUGGGGAAUCUUCCGCAAUGGACGAAAGUCUGACGGAGCAACGCCGCGUGAGUGAUGAAGGUCUUCGGAUUGUAAAGCUCUGUUAAUCGGGACGAAAGAGUUCUGUGUGAAUAAUGCAGAAAAGUGACGGUACCGGAAUAGAAAGCCACGGCUAACUACGUGCCAGCAGCCGCGGUAAUACGUAGGUGGCAAGCGUUGUCCGGAAUUAUUGGGCGUAAAGCGCGCGCAGGCGGCCUAUCCAGUCUGUCUUAAAAGUUCGGGGCUCAACCCCGUGAUGGGAUGGAAACUAGUAGGCUAGAGUAUCGGAGAGGAAAGCGGAAUUCCUAGUGUAGCGGUGAAAUGCGUAGAUAUUAGGAAGAACACCAGUGGCGAAGGCGGCUUUCUGGACGAAAACUGACGCUGAGGCGCGAAAGCCAGGGGAGCGAACGGGAUUAGAUACCCUGGUAGUC